UAAAGAUCGAUAUGUUGGUUUAGAAGUUUCUACAUAGGCAAAUAAUACAUCACGAAAAGGGAGCACUUUCAUUUUGCAAGGAUUAUAUGUAUGUGUGGGUUUUUUUUUUCCAAUUAUUACAGCAACUUGGUAAAUUUUAGGAAAAUAGCUAAAAUGUGGCUUUCUUUUUUUUAGUACUUUCCUAUAUAGGUAAUUUGUAAUGCAUUCAAUCUUAAUUAAUAUAACAAGUAUCAUUUAAAUGAUUUGUUCAACUUUUCUCCCCCUCCUUCCUAACACAGGAAAGACAGAUCUGUAUGAGAUUAAUCGGAAAGAUGCUGAAUGUUACGUGCUCAUAUGUGGAGGGAAAACCAGGUCCUGCCAUUUACAUUAGACAUUAUUACAGCGAUGCCACAAGCCAGCCCCAGAAUCUCUGCCCUUGCAGGAGGCAGGGAGUCAAAUGGCUGCUAAGCACAUGCAGGGAAACUUAUUGAGAUUUUUGGAAAUAGUGAAAAUCUGGAAAAUAAUAUAUUUUGAAAUAUAUGGAAUUUGUCCUGUAUUUAUAUCAAUGUGAAUUCCAAUUGAGUAAUAAAUUAAAUGCAUUAUAUGAAUAUCA
rnacentral:lncRNA from 1 species